ACCAGCUCAACCCUUUGGGCGGGUGAAGCCGACGGCGGCCGGGGCGGGUCAGCUACCCCGAUCCCGCAGCCGACAUUUCGACCUGAGUGAGACACGGGUCAGGACCAGGGCAUAUUUCCUCGUCCAGACUGAAGCCCCGGAAUGAAAAGAGGCCUGGAACUCACCCUUAGGAGAUCCUAAUCCCGAGGGCUAGGGGCGUGGUCCCGAGGCUCCGGCUCACUUGGGCUGAAGAUCUGGAGAAUGAAUUGAAACCAAACUCAAGAACGAGAGAGAGAAGUCCAGUUGGUGGUGUAGGUGUAUAAUCUAGCCCUUGGGAGGGUGAAGCAGGUAGACCAUGACGACGUCCAGUCCAGCCUCCUAGGCUUCACUGGGAAACCUUGUGUCAAAAAACAAGCAAACAAAACAAUAAACAGGGCAUGAGGGCCUGCUGGAGAAUUA